rnacentral:rRNA from 1 species
AUUGAACGCUGGCGGCAGGCCUAACACAUGCAAGUCGAGCGUGCGGCGGACGGGUGCGGACUGUAUGGGGACUGCCCGUUAGAGGGGGAUAACUACUGGAAACGGUUGCUAAUACCGCAUACUAUCGGAUAACCCAUAUGGGAUUAGCUAGUCGGUGAGGUAAUGGCUCACCUAGGCGACGAUCCCUAGCUGGCCUGAGAGGAUGAUCAGCCACACUGGGACUGAGACACGGCCCAGACUCCUACGGAGGCAGCAGUGGGGAAUAUUGCACAAUGGGCGAAAGCCUGAUGCAGCCAUGCCGCGUGUAUGAAGAAGGCCCUAGGGUUGUAAAGUACUUUCAGUAGGGAGGCGUUACCGACAGAGGAAGCACCGGCUAACUCCGUGCCAGCCGCCGCGGUAAUUC